rfam:Shewanella pealeana ATCC 700345, complete genome.
CCCUUUGGCUGAGUUAGUGAUCGGCUAAAGAUUUUUUAAUGUAAUAUUUUGGAGAUAGAAAUGUCACUAAGUGUUGAAGCUAAAGCUCAAAUCCUAGCUGAAUUUGGUCGUUGUGAA